rnacentral:rRNA from 1 species
AGCGAACGCUGGCGGCAGGCCUAACACAUGCAGGUUGAACGAACCUUUCGGGGUUAGUGGCGGACGGGUGAGUAACACGUGGGAACGUGCCUUUAGGUUCGGAAUAACUCAGGGAAACUUGUGCUAAUACCGAAUGUGCCCUUCGGGGGAAAGAUUUAUCGCCUUUAGAGCGGCCCGCGUCUGAUUAGCUAGUUGGUUGAGGUAAUGGCUCACCAAGGCGACGAUCAGUAGCUGGUCUGAGAGGAUGAUCAGCCACAUUGGGACUGAGACACGGCCCAAACUCCUACGGGAGGCAGCAGUGGGGAAUCUUGCGCAAUGGGCGAAAGCCUGACGCAGCCAUGCCGCGUGAAUGAUGAAGGUCUUAGGAUUGUAAAAUUCUUUCACCGGGGACGAUAAUGACGGUACCCGGAGAAGAAGCCCCGGCUAACUUCGUG